ACCACCAGGAGAUUCAGGGCCAUUGGCCCAAGCCCGACCUGUGACCUGGGGGAUCACAAUUGAUGAUGUCACAACCAGACUCCAUUGGCCUCAGUCCUGGGGGUGAGGCCUCAAGGGCUGCCCAGUCCUGCCUGUGCCCAGCCUGGGUUUCAGCCGGGCCAGUCUCGGCUCCAGCCCGGAGCUAGGGACCAGGCAGCGGCAGCGCGUGUGUCUGUGCCACCUGAUAGGGCCUCCAGUGCGGACUGUGCAGCAAGACCCCCCAUGGCAGCUGCAGAGCAGCCUUAGCACAAUCUCCCCAGAGACCAACUGCCCUUCUCGGCCCAGGGUCAUUGGGCCACGCCCCGACCUGUGACCUGGGGGAUCACAAUUGAUGAUGUCACAGCCAGACUCCACAGUCCUGGGGGUGAGGCGCCCGGGGCUGCUCAGACCUGCCCUGCCCAGCCGGGGUGUCAGUUGGGCCAGCCUCUGCUGCCACCUGAGAAAUCUGAUGGAGGCCCGGGCUGUAGCUGCUGCCAAGCUGCUUGGAAGUCACCCAGGUGGGGAUGCUGGCAAGGCCCUUGGGACAGUAGAAAGGCCGCUCUGGAGGCCACCAGUGCGGAUUGUGCAGCAAGAUCCCCCGUGGCAGCUCCAGAGGAGCGUCAGCACAGAUCUCCGCAGAGACCAACUGCCGAUCUCAUCCCCAGACACAUCAGAAGUUGCCUGCUCCCUGACAGCUCCCAUCAGGCCCAGCAGCUGUGAGGAAGAGAACCAUUGAGGUGGCUUAGGAAGAAAUGCCCGAGGAAUGACAAUCUCUCUGCUGUCACACUGCCCGGGCAGGACUGGCCCUAAUUGUGCAACUUCCUUCCCUCCUGAACAAGAGGCAGAAAGCGGCCCUGCUGGGCCAGAAGCAGCAUCUUUCUGUGGGGCACCAGGACCACCAGACAUCGGGUCAGCUGAGGCAUGGUCCUCUAGGACCGAGCCCGACUGCUGCCCGCUCAGACCCUGAGUGCCCGGGCGGCUGCCUCUGGGGCGUGAUGCAUCGGGUCAAUAAACACGCCUCUGAGGAAC
rnacentral:lncRNA from 1 species